UCCGGCUUAACGCCGGCAGUCUACCUAGAGUGCUCAGCUUGACCUGUUAGCAACUAAGGACAAGGGUUGCGCUCGUUGCGGGACUUAACCCAACAUCUCACGACACGAGCUGACGACAGCCAUGCAGCACCUGUGUUCCGGUUCCCUUGCGGGCACAACCGCCUUUCAGCAGCCUUCCGGACAUGUCAAGGGUAGGUAAGGUUGUUCGCGUUGCAUCGAAUUAAUCCACAUCAUCCACCGCUUGUGCGGGUCCCCGUCAAUUCCUUUGAGUUUUAGCCUUGCGGCCGUACUCCCCAGGCGGGAUGCUUAAAGCGUUAGCUGCGGCACGGAGGGGGUCGACACCCCCCACACCUAGCAUCCACCGUUUAGGGCGUGGACUAC
rnacentral:misc_RNA from 1 species